AGAGUUUGAUCAUGGCUCAGAACGAACGCUGGCGGCAGGCUUAACACAUGCAAGUCGAACGGUUGUAGCAAUACAGCAGUGGCAGACGGGUGAGUAACACGUGGGAACCUUCCUAGGGGUACGGAACAACUCAGGGAAACUUGAGCUAAUACCGUAUACGUCCGUGAGGAGAAAGAUUUAUCGCCCUUAGACGGGCCCGCGUAGGAUUAGGUAGUUGGUGGGGUAAUGGCCUACCAAGCCUACGAUCCUUAGCUGAUCUGAGAGGAUGAUCAGCCACACUGGGACUGAGACACGGCCCAGACUCCUACGGGAGGCAGCAGUGGGGAAUCUUGGACAAUGGGCGCAAGCCUGAUCCAGCCAUGCCGCGUGAGUGAAGAAGGCCUUCGGGUUGUAAAGCUCUUUUACCAGGGACGAUAAUGACGGUACCUGAGAAUAGCC
rnacentral:rRNA from 1 species